UGAUGAUGAUGAUGAUGAUGAUGACGAUGAUGAUGAUGAUGGUGGUGGUGACAAGGAGAAGCUAAAAUUAUCAUCAUAAUCAUCACCAACAUCAUCAUCAUCAUCACAU
rnacentral:pre_miRNA from 1 species